rnacentral:ncRNA from 1 species
UAAAAGUUUUAUUCUUGCUUAAUGUUAAAUAUUUUUAUUUAGUAAAUAUAUUUUUAUAUAGAUUGGUUUAUUUAAAUGUAUUAUUUAUAUUUGAAUUAAUAAUAAAAUUUGUUUCAGAAAUAAAAUUUAAAAAUGGUGGAAAUUGUGCCAGCAAUCGCGGUUAAACAAUUGUUUUUAUUUAAUAAUAUUUAAAUUAUUAGUAAUUUGAUUAAAUUAAAUUUUUUAUUUAAUUUUAAGUGAAAUUUAAUUAAAUAUAAUAAUUUUUUUAAUUUAAGUAUCUAAAAAAAUUAGAGUUUAAACUAGGAUUAGAUACCCUAUUAUAUCUAGAUUAAUUAAAAAUUUAAGGUAGUAAAUGUUAUAAUCAGGAAACUUAAAGAAUUUGGCGGUGUUUAUUCUAAUUAGAGGAAUAUGUUUUUUAAGCGAUAACCCCCGGGUAUUUUACUUAAGUUAAUUAUUUUGUAUAUCUCCGUCUAAAAAAAUUUUUAUAAAAUAUAUUUUAUUUAACUAAAAAGUUUGAAGUCAGGUCAAGGUGCAGAUUAUAUUUAAGUUAAAAUGUAUUACAAUAAAGUUAUUUUUGGAUUUUUUAUUAAUAAUAAGAAUGAAAAUGGAUUUAAAAGUAAAUUUAUUUAUAUAAUAAUUGUUUGAAUUAUGAAAAUAAAUAUGUACAUAUUGCCCGUCGUUCUCUCUAAAAAGAGACAAGUCGUAACAAAGUAGAUUUAUUGGAAAAUGAAUCUGUAUUCAA